AUUGAACGCUGGCGGAAUGCUUUACACAUGCAAGUCGAACGGCAGCACGGACUCCGGUCUGGUGGCGAGUGGCGAACGGGUGAGUAAUGUAUCGGAACGUGCCCAGUCGUGGGGGAUAACGUAGUGAAAAUUACGCUAAUACCGCAUACGAUCUAUGGAUGAAAGCGGGGGAUCGCAAGACCUCGCGCGAUUGGAGCGGCCGAUAUCAGAUUAGGUAGUUGGUGGGGUAAAGGCCCACCAAGCCAACGAUCUGUAGCUGGUCUGAGAGGACGAACAGCCACACUGGAACUGAGAAACGGUCCAGACUCCUACGGGAGGCAGCAGUGGGGAAAUUUGGACAAUGGGCGAAAGCCUGAUCCAGCCAUUCCGCGUGCAGGAUGAAGGCCCUCGGGUUGUAAACUGCUUUUGUACAGAACGAAAAGGUUUCUACUAAUACUAGGAGCUCAUGACGGUACUGUAAGAAUAAGCACCGGCUAACUACGUGCCAGCCGCCGCCGUAA
rnacentral:rRNA from 1 species